GUGUGCGUUCAUACCAGCAAUAAUGUAUCGGAUUCCAUCGAAACUCUGAAGAUAUGCGUGCUUGGGCGAGAAUGGUACUUAUUGAUAUGUCACAUAUG
rfam:Cephalotus follicularis DNA, scaffold: scaffold1210, isolate: St1.